rnacentral:lncRNA from 1 species
AGGGUUGAAGUGUCUUCCUGGUAAGUAUUUAGCUUCUGUUUUUCAAAAUACCUUGUGAAAACUUAAAUUUCUCCUUUGACGUAACAUUUCUCAUUGACCUGAUAUAAGAAAUACCAAGCAAUUGCAUUGAUCGAUAACGUUUUCAAGCUUUUUUCUUCCCUUUUGGUUUGCUACUUUAACUUUAGUUGUAAUAGUUGUGAUAAUUUUGUGGAGUAUUUUUGUCAAAGUCAUACAACACUCAUGUAUUUGCUUUGGUGCUUAUGAGUUGAGGCAUAAUUAAUUGAAAGUCAUUUACUGGUCUUUAAAAAUACAUAUAUUGAUAAUAUUUAUUAGGAACCAUAACCCAGUGAUUUAUGGAUUUUUUUUUUUUUUUUUAGUUUUUGUUAAAUUGUUCAGCAUUUCCCACACUGGGAAGCUGUCUUUUUUUCCAGCUUUAUUGAGAUAUAAUUGACAUAUAAGAUUUUAUAAAUUUAAGGUGUAAAAUGUGAUUAUUUGACAUACAUGCAUAUUAUGAAAUGAUUACCAUGAUAAGAUUAGUUAACAUUUCCAUCACAUCAUAUAAUUACCUUUUUUAUCACUUUUCCUCUCAUGUUUUCUUUUAACUGACAUGAUAUAGUGAUUUCAAAGAGCUGAAUAGAAUUCCAAUGUUUGACAUAUUGAUGUAAUUAUUGAUACAUGUAUAUAAUAAUAGUGUUAGAUUAUAUUAUCUCUGUAUUCUUCAGUGUUAAUGAGUAAAUUCACUAUGUUUGCAGGGUAAAUAUUAACAACUUGUAUAAACAGUUGCUUGUGCUAAAUGAAAUGAUAAGCAAUGUUGGACCCACCACAUACUCUUUCUUGUUAUGUAGAUUUGUUUGUGUUUAGUUCUAUAGAAUUUAAACUUAAAAAGAACAUUUAAUGUGGGUCUGUGUGAUCAUUGUUUAUUUAAAACAAAAUCUAACUUACAGGGAUAAGAAAGUAGGCCAUGCACGGUUCCUAUUCUACCAUUUUAGAAAGUCGUUGGAUGGGUUUCAUAGGGUAAAUUUUAUUUGCUUUCUUCCAUUUUUUAACGUUUAUUUAUUUUUGAGAGAGACACACACAGAGCAUAAGUGGGGGAGGGGCAGAGAGAGAAGAGACACAACCUCAAGCAGGCCGGAACUCACAGACUCUGAGAUCAGGAUCUGAGCCAUGAUCUUGAUCUGAGUCAGACACUUAACCAACUGGGCCACCCAGGCACCCCAGGGUAAAUUUUAUUUGUAAUGUAGGUCCUCAGUUUGUGAGCUAAAAAGCCUAUCAUUCACCAGAUUCUCAUUAGGCUGACACCAGAAAGAUCUAAAAACAACAACACUGUUAUAAAUGGACACCUAUGCUAAGAUGAUUACAUACUUUAACUCUUAAAAGAAUUUUGAAAUAUUGAAAUAGUUAAAUAUUGAGUUUUUUCCUAUUGUCUUGUAAGUUAAGCAAUUUAGGUAAUUAACUCUAUUUAGCUAUUUUCACAUUUAAAACGUUUUGUAAUGAUAGAAGAGCAAAAAAAAGUUUGUAGGAAAUUUUGUUCAGAAUUAAAUUAAAAAGAAUUUAGAUGGUACUUUUGGUUUACAUUAGGUAUUUUUAGGAAAUAUUUUGAGUAAGAUCCUUUAAUUCAGAGGCAAGUGAAAUAGAGACACUAUUAAUUUUGCUUUUUACUUAUUAAUCUUUUUCAGAAUCGUAAACUCAUUAAUGAAGCAUGGUAAGUUGGCAUUUUAAAAUCUUUGGGUGAUUUGGAGGAUGAACAUCCUCCAUUUGGAAAAUAAAAUAUAUGGUUCAGAUUAUAAGGGCGUGAAAUGGUUUGCAAGACAGUUUAAUUUUAGGUCUUAGAGACAUGUUUUUGAAAUUAAGAGCAUUCCAUUUUUUUAUUAGUAUUUAUAAUGUUCAUUUUUUUGAGAGAGAGAGAGAGAGCGCGAGCAGGGGAGGGAUAGAGAGAGGGAGACACAGAAUCUGAAGCAGGCUCCUGUCAACACAGAGCCCUAUGCGGGGCUCAAACCCACGAACCAUGAGAUCAUGACCUGAGCCGAAGUCUGACGAAGAACAUUCCAUUUUUAAGCAGCAAUUCAGAUUUUUUCAUUAAAGAUAUAUGCCUGAUCCCUUUUUCCAAAUCAGUCUUCUGCUAUACGACUCCUUACUAAAAUUUUACAAGAAUGUUAAAUACUAUACUAUAGAAUGAGUACUGUUCUCUAAAUACUAUAUGUUAUAGAGCAGUGGAUCUCAACCAGGGUUGAUUUUGUCUCCCAGGGUAUAUUUGGUGAUUUCUGAGACAUUUUCGAUUGUCACAACUGUGAGGAUGUUAACUGGCAUCUAGUGGGUAGAAGCCAGGGAUGUUGCUCAAUAUCUUACAAUACAUAGCACAGCCCCCCCACAGCAAAGUCUUAGCCAACCUAACAUGUCAAUAGUGCUGUGAGUGAGAAACUCUACUUUAUAACAGAAAAAUUAAGUUCAAUUGAUAAUUUCAAAACUCGAGAGUUCUGCCAUUUUUCUAGCAGGCCUGUGUUGAACAAGACAAGCUGGGUCAAGCCUUUGAAGAUGCUUUUGAGGUCCUGAGGCAACAUUCAACCGGAGAUCUUCCGUACUCCCCAGGUAAAGAUGUCAGUCCCCUUCUUUCACUGGGAUAUCAAAUGGCUUGUUAGUCAGACACAAAUAAUAAUUACCAGAACAGAGAAGACCAUUUUUACCUAGUGCAUCUAGGAUUAAUUCUAAGGCAGAAAGCUUCCAGGGUUACCUAGCCUAAGUAAAUUUAAAGUGUCAUAUAUAAAAAUGUAAAGAAUGACAUUGCACAUAGAAAUACUAGCACAUAUAAUUAUUUGCUAUUAAAAAUAUCUAGUUGAUAUUUAUCUAAUUGAUAAUUUUAACUGUUCAGAGUGGGCUUUUCAGUUAUUCUAAUUUAUCUUAUAGACUUUCCAUGCAAGAGAUAUUAUAAUCAGAAGAAUAAAUAUUCUUUUAUUCUUCCUCACCCAUCGCCCUCUAGACUAUAGAAAGAUAGUGCAGGUGAGAUACAGGUAUUUUGCCUACCGAGUUUAUACAGGGUGUUGCGGGCAGUACCAAGGUAAGAGAUCAUGGAUCUCUACUUGCAAGGAACACAUACUCUACUAAGGGAAUAUGGGACAUGUAAAAAGAGAUCUCUGAUACCAGCACAAUGCAAUAAAUGUAAAGAAAUGCAAAGUGAGAUGAACAUAAGGGAAGGGAAGCAAAAAUAAUACAAAAACAGGGAGGGAGACAAAACAUAAGAGACUCUUAAACAUGGAGAACAAACAGAGGAUUACUGGAGGGGUUGUGGGAGAGGCAAUGGGCUAAAUGGUAAGGAGCAUUAAGGAAUCUACUCCUGAAAUCAUUGUUGCACUAUAUGCUAACUAACUUGGAUGUAAAUUAAAAAAAAUAAUAAAUUAAAUUUAAAAAAAGAAAUGCAAAGUGAUAGAAAACACAUGAUAGAGCAAUCACACAUAAGCAUAUAUGCAUACAUGCACAUGUGUGUAAUCAUAAACUUUGACUUUUUCAGUUUCUGUCUCUGUUUUUAAAUUAGAUUACAAAAAUUACCUGGCGUUCAUCAACCACUGCUCUCAUAUCAGAGGGAAUUCCAACUGCUAUGGUAUGCUGCCUGCAGAGGAACCUGUCUAUAAUUGGAGAACAGUAAUAGUGAGUACAUGUACCAGGAGACCACCCCCCAGUAACAGGCAAAUUCCCUAUUCAGUCCUGCCUUUCACUUGGUGUAUGCUAGCUGAAACCCAGCUUAGAGGCAGCAGAGACUGUGAGAACAUUCACAGCCAUCAGUGGUGUGACCCUGAGAGUCAACAUGGGGUGAGCCUCAGCAGUGCUGUCAAGAAGGAAACUGUCCUCCAUCAUUGCUCUUCACCCAGCAUCAGAGGGUGUGAAUGACUUCUAUAAAGAUGUAUUUUUAGGGUUCUCACAUUACUGCUACUCUUUAGUCCAUCUGGAAAAUUGCAAAAAGCUAUGGUUCCCCUAUAUGCCAUAGGGCAAAGCCCAAACUUACUCUACACUGGUUUUACCUACAGUCUUCUAUCGACCUCCACUAUUUUCUAAAGAAAUUUUCAUUUUUUAAAUUAUUUUUUUAAGUUUAUUUAUUUUGAGGGAGAGAAAGAGCACAAGCAGGGCAGGGGCAGAGAGAGAGGGAGAGAGAGAAUCCCAAGCAGGCUCCAUGCUGCCGGCAUGGAGCCCAAUGCAGGGCUCAAACCCAGGAACCAUGAGAUCAUGACCUGAGAGGAAACCAAGAGUCGGACUCUUAAUCAACUGAACCACCCAGGCACCCUGACACCUUCUCUAUUUUCCUUCCCAAGCUUAGAGCUAGUUACAUGUUUUGGAUCAACUCAUGGAUAUUGUAGUAGUGUGCCCUGCAAAUGAAGUGUCCCCAUCAUCUAUUUCUCCAUUCAUGUGUUCUUUUGUGUUGUUUUCUUAAUGCCAGCAGUCUUAAUGUGGUAGGGUGUAAAUACGACAUGGUUUUCUUUUUUUUUUUUUUCCCAGUCAUUCCCUUCAACCAUGCUGUAUAGCAGAUGUCCUUUUUCUUACCUUGUAAGUUCUGUCAGGGCCUCUCCAUAUGACAUUUCUUUGAAGAGGGAGUUUGAAUUAACCUGAGGAGAUCUAUAUAUCCUUGCCAUAUGUAAUGGUAACACCUUAGGCUGCUUCCACCUGUCCCCUCUCUUGGUUCUGCCCUCCCUUGGCUGACAUCUUUCUCUCUGUGUCUCUUGCCCAGCAUCCAACAGAGGAAUGGAAAGCCCAUCUUCCCUUUUUUGUGGGCACUUCAAUUUCUACUAAUAAUUCUUUUAAAUUUUUCUUUCUGGCUGGGCAUUUUUAAGGAGAAGGAAGGAAGGAACACCCUCUUUUUUCUCAUAAGGAGGGGAUGAUAUGAAAGUUCCCACAAAGCCAAAGAUUGCUUUGCAUCCCUUGGUCCUCUCUUUAUGUGGGUUUGAGGCUAGUUCUGCCCCGGGAGAUAACUGGCUGCAACUGAGAAUAGUGCUUGUUAGAAUUUGGGAGAUUCUUAGCAGUCUUUUUGUCCCCAGCUUUUAACUUUAGCCAUCAACUGGGGGCCACAUGGAAAGUCCCACUUAACAUCUGCUGCAUUAUUUAUAUAGAACAGUGCUGCGGACCUCUAUUUUGAAGGAAAUAUUCAUCAAUCUCUGCCCAACAUCGCUGAAAACCAGCUGGUACAACCUGCUGUUCUCCAUCAAAAGGGAGGAAAAGGUAUGUGGAUCCAUUACUCCUUUUAUAAGUAAAAGAACCAAAUCUUCAAAGCAGCUUUAAAGGGAUUUCAUAUCUGAGUUUAGAAUUGCAUUUGCAAAAUAUUCUCGUAUUGUGAUUAAGAAGAAUUCACAUCUGACGGACUGAACCACUCCAAGCCAUUCACCUUGGAUGAGGCUUCCUAUUGUUUCAUAGAAAUGUUAUGAAGCUGCAUUGUGUUGCUUCACUCAAAUAAAUCUGCAUUCGAGAAUAAUGUGUAUAUAUUUGGGGUAUAGAAGGAGGAACUUUUCCAUAAGUUGUUGUAGAAAUCUUAUUCUAAUUGUAAAGGCCUUGGUGUAAAAGUUGUCUUCUCUGUUAAGUUUUCUGCAAAUGAAGUUCCAUAAUAAUUCAAUAUUUCAUAAAUUUGAAAUCUUGAUUUCAUAAAUUUAAGACGAUGAUGAUCUCACCUAACAGAUGGGCAAAGUGUUAAAGCAGGAUAGUAGCCGCUGACAUGUGCACAUGUGCUUUUGGAGGCAGUGUAGAUUGACUGGUACAAAGUUUUGUAAGGUAAUUUGGCUCUAUGAAAAAUUUAAAUGUUCAUAUCUUUUGACUCUUAAGGACUAUGUAACUCAGUGAUUGAGUGUGAACUAUGGGUUAAUUGUAUGAGCCUGGGAAAAUCACUCAACCUUUUGUUCCACAGUUUCCUCAUUCAAAAGGCAAAUAAUGGUAAUUGUACAAAUAAAUCAUAAGAUUUCUGUAAAAAUCAAAUGAAAGCCUAUGUAAAGCAUUAUGCUCAUAGCCUGGCACUGGAUAAUUUUUCAAGAUACCAUAGGGGUGUGUGUGUGUGUGUGUGUUGUUGUAGUAAAAGAAUGGAACUUACCCACUGCAUUUGUCUGUGUAUAAGGAACAGAGAUGUGUAAGAUGCACUAUAAUUUUAUGAUGAAAUUUUAAAAAAAUGGUUUAUCAUAGUUACUAAAUUAUUUUAAAUGAGCUUUUUUUGGAAAAACUAGUUUUGUUUCUAUAUCUCCAUCCUAGAAUACUGUACACUGUAUCCUAGAAUAAAAUUCUAAAUAUUCAGUUAUAAUCUAAUCCAGCAAAGAAUAAUGCAUAAAAUCACACAGAGAAAAUAAAUCUGUAUCACUGAAUAUUGGUACUGGAUAUUGAACUAUGGUGGUAAUUUAAUAUAAGGAGAAUUACACUUCUACUUCUGUCCAGGUGUUUAGCUAGUCACUAUUAUUUUUUUAAACUAACUCAUUCCAGGGUGUAAAGCCUAUGUCUUUCCACUGAUGCUUUAUGUUGUGGAGCUUUGCCAUUAUGGGACAUAUUACUCACCAUCUUCUGUUUUUCAAGUUUCAUCUUCCACUUGAAAUAGGGAUACAUUUGAAACAGAAUGAAAUUUCAAAAUAAUCUGGGCAUUUAUUAUCCAGAGAAAAAUAGUACAUGCAUAAAACAGAACACAUAGCUUUUAAAAGGCAUGCCGGCAUAUCAUACGUGUUGAUAAAGAACUUUAGAGUACAUUCUUUUGUCUUAAUCCCAUUUAAUUCCAUAAUUUAAAAGUAACAAUGCACAUGAUUAAAAGUAGAAAGGAUUCAGAAAUACGUAAAGAAUAAGUAGAAGUGUUCCUUCUUUCCUCCCAUGCUAUAUCCUGGGAAGUAGCCAUUUGUCAACAGUUGGGUAUUUUACCCAUCUGUAGCUAAUUUCUAUAUUCUCUGAUAUAAUUUAAGGUAUAUAACAUUGGAAAAGGGCAUAUUACUUUGAUACCACUUGUAUUUUUAAAGGGUAUACAUAUGUUUAUAUGCAAAAAAUUUUAAAAACUGUAGGAUAGACUGGAAUUUUACUUUCACUUUGUGCUUUUUUUUUUUCACUUUGUGCUUCUGAUUGAAUCUUUUACUGUGAGCACAUAAUACUUAAAAAAAAAAAUUUUUUUAGUGUUUAUUUAUUUUCGAGAGAGACAGAGACAGAAUGUGAGUGGGUUAGGGGCAGGGAGAGAGGGAGACACAGAAUCUGAAGCAGGCUCCAGGCUCUGAGCUGUCAGCACAGAGCCGACGUGGGGCUCGAACUCACGAGCUGUGAUAUCAUGACCUGAGCUGAAGUCGGACGCUCAACCGACUGAGCCACCCAUGUGCCCCCACAAAGUAACUUUUUUAACAAAAAUUUAAACAUUUUUUUUUCAAAAUUGAAAACAAAUUUUAAAAGAUGAGCAUCCAUUAUCAUGGAUUUGACCAUCAGAUAAGGGACAGAGUUUGUUUAAGGCUGUGACUUUAAUUCAUGAUGUGUUUUUUGGUAAGUCCCUUUCAUUUCUCAAUUUGUAAAUUAGAGAUAAUAUAACUCAAAAAGAUAAUCUUAAAAACCUUUGAGGUUUGGGGAUGAAUGAUGACUGAUAUAAGAGUAUUACUCCCGAGAGACUGUUGAAAGCAGUUUGGGUAUCCACUAUUCAACUCUAUCUAGAGCAAAAGGAAAUUUGACCAUAGCUAUCUCAGCUACUGACAGAUCUGGUGAAGCAUGGUAUUUACAGGCCAACUCAGAAGCCACAACAUGGGCUGUCCCCUUGGUUCUCUCAUAGGUCAAAGAGAUACAAUCAACAGAACAAAAAUCACGACAAAUCUUCCUAAAGUUUCCUAUCUAGAAAUUCUAAAAUAUAAAGGGCUGUGUUCCUAAAGGGACAAAAACUCUCAUUGUACCAUGUUAUUUUAUUUUAUUUUAUUUUUUUUAAUUUUUUUUCAACGUUUUAUUUAUUUUUGGGACAGAGAGAGACAGAGCAUGAACGGGGGAGGGGCAGAGAGAGAGGGAGACACAGAAUCGGAAACAGGCUCCAGGCUCUGAGCCAUCAGCCCAGAGCCCGACGCGGGGCUCGAACUCACGGACCGCGAGAUCGUGACCUGGCUGAAGUCAGACGCUUAACCGACUGCGCCACCCAGGCGCCCCGAGUACCAUGUUAUUUUACAGCCAUGAAAAACAUCACGAUGCCCAUUGUCAUUGCUCAUAAAUGAUGUUCAAAUGUCAUAAAGAUAUUUUGGCAUUUUCUUUAUUUUUCAAGCAACUGUGCACACCCAGAGUUUUUUUUUUUUAACUAAGUCUUUGUUAUUAAUGUCACUAAUGUUACUUUAUAUUUGAAUAUUGUUUUGCAUUUUACAAAAUACAUUCACAUUCCUUACCUCAUUUGACUUACCUCAUUUGAAUAAAGCCCUUUCAAAUGAUUUGCUUUCUGAAAAGGGCUUCUGAGGCUUCUCUUUAAAACCACUAAAUUUUGCUCAGUUUUGUUGUUCUAUAGGAAGUUUAGCAUAUGACAUAAAACCAGUAGUCAAGAUUUAGCUGAAGAAAGACCACAUGACAGAUGAGAGACUUGGGUCAAGUUCCAGCCUUCCCUUUUCUAGUAAUGGACAAUAUAAAAUUUUUUUACAAUAUCUCUAACAAAGAAAGGUCCAAUUAAAACUUCAAUAAGCCAAACAGACCUUUGACUUUCAAGACUCAGUGCGGCUUUGAAUUUUAUAGUCACUCAACAAACCUUUCCUGAGUAUGUUCUUUGUGCAUAGCCAUGGUGAAGUAUGAUAUUUGUUCUCCAUUUUAGGCAGGAAGAAGCUUCGACUGUUCGAAUACCUUCAUGAAUCCCUGUGUAAUCCUGAGAUGGCAUC